AAACUGCGCGUCGGAAUGUGAACUGCAGGACAUAUGAUCAUCGACACUUUGAACGCACAUUGCGGGCACUGGCUCGUCCACUGCCCAUGUCUGGCUCAGGGUCGGUUUUGCAUCCCUCCCGAGAGGUUCGUCCUCUCGGGCACUGGGCUCUUCGCCUCUCCCUCGGGGGCGGCGUGGCCUCAAGUUUCGAGCGCGUCCGGCUGGCGGGCGGGCCACGACUCUUGGGAUUCUCUCCCGGGUCCGGUCCCCCUCCGAUCUGUCGGUCGUGCGCCUGGGGGCCUCUCUCUCGGCCCCUGGCGACCCCUCUUGCUUUUCGACCUGAGAGCAGGCAAGGUGACCCGCCAAAUUUAAGCAUAUUAAUAAGCGGAGGAAAAGAAAACAACCGUGAUGCCCUUAGUAAUGGCGAAUGAAACGGGCAGAGCCCAGCACCGAACCGCCGGCCCUCGGUCGCGCGGAAUGUGGUGUUCGGGGGAGCCUCCUCGCAGCGAGACGGCCGGUCCAAGUCCACCUUGACUGGGGCCACGGCC
rnacentral:rRNA from 1 species